rnacentral:lncRNA from 1 species
GCGCGUCAGGAGAACUAUGCCAUUUUUGGGUCAGGACUGGAGAUCUCCUGGAUGGAGUUGGAUUAAGACAGAAGAUGGCUGGAAGAGUUGUGAAUCUUGUAGUCAGAAACUUGAAAGAGAGAAUAACCAUUGUAACAUCAGUCACAGCAUGUAAGUUACAGCUGAGCAGAACCCUGCCUUUUGCCAGUUUAGCAUGUAUGGCCUUACCUAUUUUUCA